rnacentral:rRNA from 1 species
GACGAACGCUGGCGGCGUGCUUAACACAUGCAAGUCGAACGGUAAGGCCCUUCGGGGUACACGAGUGGCGAACGGGUGAGUAACACGUGGGUGAUCUGCCCUGCACUUCGGGAUAAGCCUGGGAAACUGGGUCUAAUACCGGAUAGGACUCCUGGCUUCAUGGUUGGGGGUGGAAAGCUUUUGCGGUGUGGGAUGGGCCCGCGGCCUAUCAGCUUGUUGGUGGGGUAAUGGCCUACCAAGGCGACGACGGGUAGCCGGCCUGAGAGGGUGGCCGGUCACACUGGGACUGAGAUACGGCCCAGACGCCUACGGGAGGCAGCAGUGGGGAAUAUUGCACAAUGGGCGCAAGCCUGAUGCAGCGACGCCGCGUGAGGGAUGACGGCCUUCGGGUUGUAAACCUCUUUCAGCUAUGACGAAGCGCAAGUGACGGUAGUAGCAGAAGAAGGACCGGCCAACUACGUGCCAGCAGCCGCCGUAA